GGGGUUGUGGCUCAGAGGUAGAUCACUUGCCUAGCAUGUGUGAGGUACUGGGUUCGAUCCCCAGCACCACA
rnacentral:tRNA from 1 species